rnacentral:lncRNA from 1 species
ACAAACAAGGUAUUCUUCUCCAUGAGGUCUUCACUUCCUUGUACUGUCUCUCCUGAAGUCUUAUUUCCCUGGUCUAAAUAAUUCUUGCCUGCCAAUCUAUCAACCCCUCCUGCCCUGCUGUGCUCAGACAUGCCCGCCAGGAAAUCACCCCCUCCCUGCUGUAACAGCUUUACCCGCAGAAACCGUUCUUCCCUGCACUCUUCUAAUUAGCUAAUUACAUUUAGCUAAUUAGCUAAUUAAUAAUUAGCUAAUUAAUUAGCUAAUUAAUUUAGCUAACUGUGCGGCCGACCCCAACCAAUAGGGGAAUGAAACAGCAACUAAGGCCAACAGGGUUAGGGAUUAAAAACCCUCUCCAUUAAAAAUGCUCUCCAUUGUGUGAUGUGCUCUCGCCAUUGCUCCAUCCACAAGAUACACCCUUCUAUAGAAGUAAAUUUGCCUAGCUGAGAAAACUUAUAUUCAAAUGCUAUUUCUUUUGUGGCACUAAAAAUUUGCCCCAACAAUAGAUUUCUGUGGUUUUAACCUCACUUAUUUAAAAUUAAAUGGAUUUGUAAGCCA